rnacentral:lncRNA from 1 species
UCAGAUGGAUAAAGCUUCAGUUUCCCAGGUAACCAACCAUGGAUCUGAGCUGAGUGACCCAGUGCCGAUGUGAAGAAGAAUGUUGCCAAGACAACGGAAUCCAUACCCCUUUCCAGCACUGAGGCCUUCCUCCCUCUCACUACCUGCUUGGAUCUCAGGCUUUACCCCAUAAAGACAAAGAAACUGGCUGAGGAGACAAGAGAAAGAAAGUAGCAGAAGAUGGGAAGGAAACAGACGGAGUCUCACUUGUGUUGCCAAGAGAGCUUGAGCAUCAACUGGCAGUGAGGAUGGCAGGAAAGCAACUGACUUAUCCCCUCUCACCAGACCUUCCAACUGUCUGCAACACUGGCAUUGCCACGUAUCCCGGCACGUUGUUGAUCCCAUUGUGGCAUUGUGGUCAGAGAAUAUACAAAUCGCUGAAGAAUCCAUUGUUUAUGGACAUUCCUGGGAUAGUAUUCAUUUAAAUAUCUCUAUGUACACUGUAAUGGAAUAUAAUACAAAAAUGGAGUUGCACGCAAAAUGAGGGUACCACUCAGUAAAUGGUUCCACAGGGACGUCUGAUCCCCUACGAUCUGGGUUAAGAAAUGGUGUAGUGUAUUGCCGGCAGCUCAAAAGCACUCUCAUGCCAGUCACUCUUGUCUUCCACCUCAGCAAAUCUAACCACUCUUGUGACUUUUAACACUUGACGAUAAUCCUGCCUGUUUGUGAACGCAUUACACAUGAGUAGACUCAGUACAGUACGUAUUUUAUAAUCCGGGUUUCUCUUGGCAACAUUAGGUUUUUCUCCUUGCUAUUCACUUUUGUCGUGCUGUGUAGCUGAAUUUCGUUUCUUUGCAUUCCUGCGCAGUGUUUUGAAUUGUAUGACGAUGCCACAAUUUAUUCAUGCCUUUUAUUUCUAAUGGGCUCUUCAGUAGUUUCCAGCGCUGGAGUGUUAGUGUUAUUAUUGUGGUGCACGUUCACAAGGAUGUCCUUUGGUUAACAUGCGUAUGCAUUUAAGGCUGUGCUUGCAGGACUGCUUUGAUUACUUUUUCUUCCUUCAUGGCACUGUAAGUGGUGACAGUGGAUGUAUCUGGUUUUUUUUUCCCCCUGAUCUCAGAGGGAAAGCUGUCAACAUGUCACCCGUAAGUAUCGUUGUUUUUGUAGGCUUUUAAAAUAUAUUCCAACGGAAUCAAGAGACUUCCCUUUUGUUCGUAGUUGGCUAAGAGGUUUUAUCAUAAGUGCAUGGUCAUUUAAAAAAAAUCAAACCCAUGAAAUACCCUUCCUGCGUCUGUAGGGAAUAUCAUAUUUUUUCUCCUUCAUACAUUACUUCUGAGAGAUAGAUUUUUCAAGCGCUGAACCGCUUCAUUUCUAGAAUACUCUUGACUUGUUUGUGAUACGUUUUCCUUUUUGGAGAUUUAACUGAUUUGUUUUGCUAAUGCUUUAUUCAAGAUUUCUUCUUCUGUGCUUAUGUAAAAGAUAGGCCUGUGCAUUUCAUUUCUUACCAUGCCCUUUAAGGUUUUUCCCUCAUAAAACGGGAUGGGAAGCAUUUCCCGUUUUUUAUGUUACUUGGCAAGAAGGUAAGAUUGAUAUUCCUUCCUUCACAAACGUUUUGUAGAAUUAAUCGGUGGCAGCAUCAGAGUCCGUAGGUUCUUGUGGCUGUUGCUGUUGUUUCCUUCAGAUUCCGCCCGUUUAGAAUUUGUAGGACAAUUCAGAUGUUUAGUCUGUUUUCUGUCAUUUUGUUGUAUUUUCUUGAAAUGUGUAAAUUAUAUCCAAAGUUUCACGUUUGUGGGCAUAAAGUUGCUCAUGGUUUUGAAUAAUGAUCUCUUUAAUGCCUUCAUUGCCCAUAGUGAUGUCUCCUUAGCCACUCCAGACACGGGUUGCUUCAUGAUUUCUCUCCUUUUUGUUCAGGCCUACACAAGGCAUGUCUUAAUCACAUCAUCUUUUCAAAAAACCACCUCUGGCUGUGUUGUUUUAUCUUUAACUGAUUUGUACUUUUAUCGUUAUUUCAUUUCUUCUGCUUUCUUCAGGUUUAAUCUGUUGUUCAACAUGGUUAAGAAAGAUGCAAAUGUUGUGCCUUUCUUUUUCAUGCAAUCUAGACAAUUAAAAUAUAUCCCAUAAGAUUUCAUCAGGUUCAAAAUACUUUGCGAUUUCAUUGGUGAUGUUUUCCUUGAGCUAUGGGUUAUUUAGAAAAUAGGAAAUAAAAAGGAUGCCUUUUCUAAAAAUAAAAUGAAGUGAAAUAAAAAGGAUGCCCUUUUAUUUCAUUUUCUUGCUUAAUUGCCCUCUGAACUUCCGGGACUAUGUUGAGAAGAAGUAGCAAAAGCGGGCAUCUCUGUCUUGCUCCUGAUCUUAGAGGAAAAGCUUUCACUCUUUCGCCAUCGUGUACAGUGUUCACAAUGAGUAUUUUAUAUAGGACUUUUGUGACGUUGAGGUUGUUUCCUUCUGUUUCAAGGAGUUUGAGUGUUUUUAUCACGAAGGGGGUUGACUUUUGUCAGAUGCUUUUAGUGCAUCAAUUGAGCCGAUCAUGUGGUUUUGUCCUUCAUUUUGUUGAUGCCGUACACUAAAUUAGUUGAUUUUCAUUGAUCGAAACUUCCUUGCAUUCCACGAAUAAAUCCCACGUGGUCAUGGGCCUUUCAUGUGUUGUUGAACUCGGUGUGCUAGACUUUUGUUGAAUAUGUAUGCACAAACAUUCUUUUGGGAAGUGUGUGUGUGUGUGUGUGUGUGUGUGCGCGCGCGUUUCUGGUCCUAGUUCUUCUCUAACUGUUUAGUAGAAUUCUCCACUGAAGCCAUCUAGUCCUGCGGUUUUCUCUGUUGGGAGGUUGAUGAAUACUGGUUAAGUCUCCUUAUGAGUUGUCGAGAUCUGCUGAGAUUUUUUAUUUCUUCAGGAGUCAGUCUUGGCAGCGUGUACGUUUCUCAGAAUUUAUCCAUUUCUUCUAAAGUAUCAAAUUUGUUGGGGUAUAGUUGUUCCUGGUCUUCUCCUUAUAAUCUUUUUUAUUUCUGUAGUAACAAUUGUAAUGCCCCUCUGUCAUUCUGAUUUUAGUUAUUUGACCCUUCUCUGUUUUUUUCUUAAUCUGCUUAACCUAUGUUGACCUUUUCAGAGACACCAGCUCUUAGUUUCAUUGUUUUUUUUUUCCUAUUAUUUGUCUAUUCUCCAUUUCCUUUAUUUGUGCUCUAAUCUUUAUUACUUCCUUCCUUCUGCUAACUUCGGGUUUACGUUGUUCUUCCUUUGCUAGUUCUCGAAACACAAAGAUAGGCUGUUGAUUUGAGAUCUUUCUUCUUUUUCACUGUAAGGAUUUACCACAAUAAACUUCCCUCUUAACACUGCUUUCCCUGCAUCUCCUUAGUUGUGGUAUGUGGUGUUUUCAUUGUCAUGUGUCUCAAGAUACUUUCUAAUUUCCUUGUGGUCUGUUCUUUGACCCACUGGUUGUUGAAGAGAGUGU